UACGUAGGGGGCGAGCGUUGUCCGGAUUUAUUGGGCGUAAAGGGCGCGUAGGCGUUUUCUUAAGUUUGAAGUGACAGUGGGUGGCUUAACUACCCAAGGCCUUUGAAAACUGGGGAACUUGAGGACCAGAGAGGGACAUAGAAUUCCGGGUGGAGUGGUGAAAUGCGUAGAUAUCCGGAGGAAUACCAAAGGCGAAGGCAGUGUCCUGGAGGGUGACUGACGCUGAGGCGCGAAAGCUAGGGGAGCGAACAGG
rnacentral:rRNA from 1 species